CGGAAUAAUAGUUAAUAUAGAUCUGAAUGUGUACGUUCAGAGUCGUUAGGGCACUUUUGCGGGAAAGGGAUAACCCAAUUCCUCGACCAUAAUCCGUGUCUUAAGAACGGGUGUUGUGGAUCAAUGUGGUGUGGAUGUUUCCGUAAGUCGUCACUAUUUUUAACAAAUAAUCGCAUUCGAACUUGGUCAAUAUCUUUUCUCUCGGCCGGUUGGGCCACGGUCGGCGGCGCCGAUGUGGCAACCCGAGUUUAACUAUAAUCAGCCGCAAUUCGCACUAAUUUCUUUUAUUUUAAUCUCAAUUUAGAUCUGAAUCAGCACUUUUCGAACAGAAAAUCUUUAGGUAUUUGCUUUCAAUGAGAUUAUAAGGAGAACUUGUGUGCUGUCAAUCCCUUGUUUGACCCUAAUCUAUGGGGUAAUACGGAUUGGCAUUUUAAAUUGGGUGUGGAUAUUUGCGGUCCCAUGAUGCUCGGAUCGAAUUUUGGGUUUCCUGAACUGCCAUAGGGUGGGUUGAUCUCCUCGGACAAGAUAUUAGCUACUAGGUGCUAUAUGGUUUGGUAAAGAGCGGUAAGUCGGACAUAUGGAGGCAGCGUUCGAAUGGCAUACUUGCGUGUAGUCAUCCGGUUUCCUGAAAUUGCAGUGUUGCAGUCCAGUUCCACGUCGAUUACUUUACCUUCGUUACCCGAUGUUAAAGAUUUAAUCUUGUGUGCUUUAUGAUGUACUUUGUAUCAGUACUUCCUCCUAAAUCGUCAUUCACCCUUUAUCUCUCGGGGUGAUUUGUACCGGGACCCUACACAUGUUUGGCGGGCAGUGGGAGAAGUUAUCAAGAUUAUAUCAUAUAUUGUGUAAUUAUGCGGUAUCUUCUCCGUUCAGCAUUGUGCUC
rnacentral:rRNA from 1 species